CCGCGUGUGUGAUGAAGGCCUUCGGGUCGUAAAGCACUUUUCGUGGGAGAUAGAGAAAGGACAGUAUCCCAGGAAUAAGUCUCGGCUAACUACGUGCCAGCAGCCGCGGUAAACGUAGGAGGCGAGCGUUAUCCGGAUUCACUGGGCGUAAAGCGCGUGCAGGUGGCGCGGUAAGUUGGGUGUGAAAUCUCCCGGCUCAACUGGGGAGAGGUCAUUCAAUACUACCGUGCUUGAGAGCAGAAGAGGAAGAUGGAAUUCCCGGUGUAGUGGUGAAAUGCGUAGAUAUCGGGAGGAACACCAGUGGCGAAGGCGAUUUUCUGGUCUGUUUCUGACACUCAGACGCGACAGCUAGGGUAGUAAACGGGAUUAGAGACCCCGGUAAUCCUAGCCGUAAACGAUGUGAACUUGGCGUUGGUGGGUUAAACUCCAUCAGUGCCGCAGCAAACGCGAUAAGUUCACCGCCUGGGGACUACGGCCGCAAGGUUA
rnacentral:rRNA from 1 species